AAGGAAGAAAUGAAGUGUCUAGGGGUGAGCUGGAGAUUGGAUCACAGCCGAAGGAGUAAAGGUGCUGCAAUGAUGUUAUCUAUGGCCGUUGGGGAUUUUUCACGAGAAGCUUAAUAAACUAAAAACUUUCGUGUG